UACGGGGGGGGCAAGCGUUGUUCGGAAUUACUGGGCGUAAAGGGCUCGUAGGCGGCCAACUAAGUCAGACGUGAAAUCCCUCGGCUUAACCGGGGAACUGCGUCUGAUACUGGAUGGCUAGAGAUUGGGAGAGGGAUGCGGAAUUCCAGGUGUAGCGGUGAAAUGCGUAGAUAUCUGGAGGAACACCGGUGGCGAAGGCGGCAUCCUGGACCAACACUGACGCUGAGGAGCAAAAGCCAGGGGAGCAAACGGG
rnacentral:rRNA from 1 species